CACUGCCUUCAUCUCCAUCCUCACCAACCACAUUACCAGCAUCAACACCUUCACCAACCUCAGCAGCAUCACCAUCCUCAUCAACCUCUCCAACAACAUCAUCAAUAGAACCGCUAUCAGGUCAGUGUUCAGUACCCACAGUGCUCUGCUGUCCUGGACAUGAUAAUGGAUGCUACCGUGGGUGUUUUUGUGAUGAGGUUUGCCUCACCAUCGGUGACUGCUGUCCUGACUACAAUCAGACAUGCUUUGGAUCACAUUCACAGCCUUCAUCUCCAUCCUCACCACUACCAACAUGGAGCACAGCACACUCACCAACUUUGUCAUUAUCAUCAUCUA